rnacentral:lncRNA from 1 species
GAUGGCACUUGUCAACAGUAAAAAUAAACUGACAUCAAAAUCGCAAGCAAAGAACCAGCAAGCGGAGCGAAAGCUGAAUACUACGAGAAGGAACGGCGGAGAGACGGAAACCAGAUACAAACAAAAUCGCCAAACGUCUGUUACAUAGAAAAAAUGCAAAGCAACAAAAGCACGCGGCGAAGCACGGUGCCAGAGCAAAAAUAAUGAAUACUACUACUACUACUACUACUACUUAGAUUUAUUCUGAUCAUUUAGGCGAUAACGAUGGAACACAUGACGAUUGUAUAUCAUUAUGGUAAUAUAAUUCAUUUGUAUACGCAUCAGUGUAAAAUGG